UACAGAGGUCCCGAGCGUUGUUCGGAUUCACUGGGCGUAAAGGGCGCGUAGGUGGUGGGGUAAGUCGGAUGUGAAAUCUCCGAGCUCAACUCGGAAACUGCAUUGGAAACUACCCUGCUAGAGGGUCGGAGGGGGGACUGGAAUACUUGGUGUAGCAGUGAAAUGCGUAGAUAUCAAGUGGAACACCAGUGGCGAAGGCGGGUCCCUGGACGACUCCUGACACUGAGGCACGAAAGCUAGGGGAGCAAACAGG
rnacentral:rRNA from 1 species